UACAGAGGUCUCAAGCGUUGUUCGGAUUCAUUGGGCGUAAAGGGUGCGUAGGUGGCGCCGUAAGUCAGGUGUGAAAUCUCGGGGCUCAACCCCGAAACUGCACUUGAUACUGCGGUGCUCGAGUACUGGAGAGGAGAUUGGAAUUCAUGGUGUAGCAGUGAAAUGCGUAGAGAUCAUGAGGAAGACCAGUGGCGAAGGCGGGUCUCUGGACAGUUCCUGACACUGAGACACGAAGGCCAGGGGAGCAAACGGG
rnacentral:rRNA from 1 species